AGCGGCGGACGGGUUAGUAAUGUCUGGGAAACUGCCUGAUGGAGGGGGAUAACUACUGGAAACGGUAGCUAAUACCGCAUACCAUCAGAUGUGCCCAGAUGGGAUUAGCUAGUAGGUGGGGUGAAGGGUCACAUAGGCGACGAACCCUAGCUGGUCUGAGAGUAUGACAAGGCACACGGGAACUGAGACACGGUCCAUAAUCCUAAGGGAUGCAGCAGUGGGAAAUAUUGGACAGUGGUGGCAAGCCUGAUGCAGCCAUGCGGGGUGUAUGAAGAAGGCCUUCGGGUUGUAAAGGAUGUUCAGCGGGUAGGCGUUACGCGCAGAAGAAGCACCGGCUAACUCCGUGCCAGCAGCAGCGGUAAUAC
rnacentral:rRNA from 1 species